AUUGAACGCUGGCGGCAGGCCUAACACAUGCAAGUCGAGCGGAUGAAGGGAGCUUGCUCCUGGAUUCAGCGGCGGACGGGUGAGUAAUGCCUAGGAAUCUGCCUGGUAGUGGGGGAUAACGUCCGGAAACGGGCGCUAAUACCGCAUACGUCCUGAGGGAGAAAGUGGGGGAUCUUCGGACCUCACGCUAUCAGAUGAGCCUAGGUCGGAUUAGCUAGUUGGUGGGGUAAAGGCCUACCAAGGCGACGAUCCGUAACUGGUCUGAGAGGAUGAUCAGUCACACUGGAACUGAGACACGGUCCAGACUCCUACGGGAGGCAGCAGUGGGGAAUAUUGGACAAUGGGCGAAAGCCUGAUCCAGCCAUGCCGCGUGUGUGAAGAAGGUCUUCGGAUUGUAAAGCACUUUAAGUUGGAAGGAAGGGCAGUAAGUUAAUACCUUGCUGUUUUGACGUUACCAUCAGAAUAAGCACCGGCUAACUUCGUG
rnacentral:rRNA from 1 species